rnacentral:tRNA from 1 species
AUUCCCGUGGUGUACCGGUUAUCACGUGCGCCUAACACGCGCAAGGCCCCCGGUUCGAUCCCGGGCGGGAACA